AUGCUAAGAGAAUGGAACUUCAGGGAAAAACUUUAUUGAAGUUAAAAUUUAAAGUUUUUUUAAUUUGUGCAGAAACAAUUAUUUAUAUUAAGGACAAGAAGACCCUAUGAAUUUAUUAAAUUUUAUUAACGAAUGACAACAUUAAUAAAAUUUUGGCUGGGGCGGCAGAAAAAUAUUAAAAACUUUUUAAUUCUAAAAUGACCCACUUUUAGUGAUUAUAUGAAAAAUACUCUAGGGAUAACAGCGUUAUAUUUUUUGAUAGACCAUAUUGACAAAAAAGUUUGCGACCUCGAUGUUGGAUUAGGAUACUUUUUUAAUGAAGAAAUUAAAAAAAGAAGUUUGUUCAACUUUUAAUCUC
rnacentral:rRNA from 1 species